AAUAGCGUGAUUUCAGUGCAACAUAUGCGAAUAGACAAAAAUAAUUUUGAAUAGCGUAAUGACGUCAAUAAAUGCUUUUUAUCAUUUCCUGAUAUAAAGGAUUCUCAUUGCUAGUUUACAUAAAAUACUAAUAUCUCUUUUUUAAUUAGUUAUUUGUGUGGUGCUUUCGGCAAACACCAUGUCGGUCUACACAAACAAAACUGGUGCGCCAUCCAUUUUAAAACCAUUUUCCGGUGCCGAUCGGGAUCGAGCCAAGAUUGCGGCCGCAAACCAAGUCCGGUUUGCGACUCCAAAGGAAAAAGGUCUUGUCGAAUGUAUUCGUAUAGCAGUGGAAGAUGGAGAUUUUCAUCUUGUCCAAGAGUUCACAUACUUUAUUCGGGAAUCAGAUCUUGACGAUGACGAGUUGUUGAAAGUCUUAACAGAUGCCAGAAAAAUAGUUCACCAUUUGACUCCAGAUUUUAUAAACGUUGUCGAAGCAUUGAUGUCCCUUAACUGGAAGAAGCGAAGUCUUGGAAUUAUCGAAGCUUACAAAGAUUUUUGCGUUGACGUUAUGGUGGCGCACAAUCGGUAUUUACCAAAUGGAAUAUGCAAAUUGAUUAUCCACUGGAUUCCCGGGGACUUGGAUUCAGCAGAAUGGGUUAAUGGUAACCCAUCGGAACGCGCUCAUACGGACUUAAAGCCAAUUCAUGACGCGCUCAAUCGAAUCCUCACAGCUGUACCGAUGGCAUUUGAUGUAGUUAUUGAUGCAAUAACAGCAAAAUUUCCAUACUUCAAGAAGCCUUCACAUGUUACGGCUGGUUAUCUCUUUAACGUUCUCUGGCUUAUCGAAUACAAGCCGGUAUUUGAGGAACUCAUUUUGCAGCUGGUUCUGCAAAAGCUUUUAGUCUUAGAUGUUAAUGCCCCCCGAGAUGAAAUCGACGUUGAGACUAACGAUCAUGACAGCAUUGAAGAUAAUGUCAGGUCUCAACAACCAUCAGUAAACCAUCCUAUCGGUCGUACCCUAGAUAUAUGUCUUUUAAUGUUAUAUAAGUUUAUUGAUGGUAAAUGUCGCAUUGAACCAAAUAGCUGCCAACAAAGCCGCGAAUCAGCAAAUCGAGUGUUUAAGAUACUAUUGUACCUUUUUGAUGAAGUUUUACUUCCUAGCCACAAUACCCAUCAUGUGCAAUUCGUCAUAUUUCAAGUGACUGGUAUUCGAUCGGAUUACUGGGAUGGCUUUUUACAAAUGCUAUGGAACAAAGUUAAAAAUCCAAAUGCGUCAGCUAUAAUUCGUCAUACUGCUGUAGGGUAUCUUUCCAGUUUUAUAGCCCGCGCGAAGUUUUUGCCACUUAGCACUAUAACAUUCUAUCUUAAAGAGUUAAGUAAAUGGGCACAUUCCUACAUAGACGACUCCGAUGAAUACGGCCAGAAUUGUUCACUCAAGGCGAACAUGGUAUUUUUCUCAGUAUGCCAAGGCAUUUUCUAUUUAAUUGCCUUUCGUGCCAGCGAUUUGACUAGAUGUACAAAAGAUUUGCUUUUCCUUCAAUCUCUACAACUUUCCCGUCUUGCCAUGUGUCACUUUAAUCCUCUCCGAUACUGCCUAGCCCCAGUUGCUACGGCCUUUGCUGGGGUUACACGAACACAUCAAUUGGCUUAUUGUCAUACGGUUUUGGAACGUAACGCCCGUCGGAAACUGGCCACUGUGUACGGUCAUGACAAAGCCAUGUCGGAAGAAACACUCGAAACAUUUUUUCCAUUUGACCCUUACUUGCUUAAAUUGUCCAACAUGUAUAUCGAACCCAAUUAUCUUGUUUACCACGAUACUGAAACAGGAGACUAUGCACAGACCGUUACACUUCCUUUUCAUCGAAAACGUGGUGACUCAGAAAUGGUAGAGGAUGAUGAAUUUAUUGUAGCAGACAAGCGCCAGAAAUAUUAAAAUAGUCAUAUAGUCAGUAGUUCGACUAAAACUGUCACUAUGGAUCUUCCCUUGGCUUAAAUAAGAAGUUAUUCCAGCGGCUAUUGUAACAAUUCAGGCUUGGUGGCCAUCAAUAUCAAAGUUUGCGUGUAUGAGUAAACACAAGAAUCCCAGCAGACGAAGAGCGGUCUCGGUGCGAAUGAAUCCGAGAAAUGUCCGCUAAAAAUAUUAAAUACUGACAAAGAAUCGGAGUUUCCGCAUUAGGUUCGG